GUUAUUUUGACAGUAGAAACAAGAAAAUUUAGUUGUAGGGGUUUUUUCUUGAAAAUAAGAAUUCUUAUAUAACUCGUUUUACUGUAGAUUAUAGCCUUCUAUAAUUCCUUCUAUAAUCCCAAACAAGAGACCUAUCCUGUCAGGUAAAAAAUGUAUUUUUGCUCAAAAACCUUCUUUUGGAGAUUUUCGUUUCACAUAAUGGAAUUGCAAUUUAUGCAUCUUCGAAUGGCGGACAUAGAUUUUGUAUUUCCUAUAGCGAGUAAGCUUCUGUCAAAUAAUAUCACUCACUUCCCUGUUUUUAAUCACAAUACCAAACUUUACUUUCACACCAUGGACUGUGUAGCGUUCAAUUUCAUUGCAGCACAAAAUACUUCGUAUAGUAAUUUGGGUUGCCUACUGAUUUCGAGUUCGACGAAUUUAAAUUAUCUCGGGGAAUGUUUAUCGGUUUUUUUUUUUCCAUAUGUGCCAGAUACGGUAAUUUCCUUCAAGAAAGAAUUUACUUUCGUACUUCGAAAUUGGGAAAGUAGAUAUUUCGAUUUAUUCUGUGGAAAUCCAAGAGUUUUGGGAUAAAAAUAUUUUCCUGAUUUCUUUCAAUAUUGUAUUGCGAGUUGGUUAUUUGAUGAAGCAAUAUAAUACCCAAAUUUGGGGAUCAUUGGAGUGUAUUGAAAGAGUAUCUUUCUCCAUUAGGCCACACAACAUCAAAGUGAGUUUUUUUUCAUACAUUCGUUAAUAGUUUAUAUCUUCAUCUAGAACGAUUAAUAUCGUACAUCCCAUUGUUCUAGGGCCUUUUUUUUUCCCGACUUUUUCUUCUUGAGUUUACGUUUGGAAUAUAACGUAAAAUAUAAGAGUGCUGUCGACAGAGAAUUCAAUUUACCUAAGAUCCAAGAACAUCAAGGAUACUGAACGAGCGCUGCAGAUUUUUGGUUUAUGUUCAAUUUUUGUCUUCACGAGUUUGGACUCACAGGAUUGAGAAUUGGUGACGUAGUUUUAAUAAUAGUUUCAAUCCUGCUGUUCAUCAAACUGAUUGAAUAUAGGAUUCCUAGAAUAACUAGGCACUUAUAUUGACCAUACUCUGCCCAUAGGUUUCAACACUCGAAACGUCGUAAAACUUUUUUUUAUGACAUGUUUGGGAGUUUAUCGCCAUUUCGAAUAUUCUGAAGAUAUUGAAGUUUUCCUGAAGAAAUUUGUCCAGAAGAAUUAUUCUGAGGAGUGUGACCCACUGGUUUCACCAUUUUUUCCAUGAAAAUCACCGCAACUCAUAAAGCAAGAUACUCCAAAUCUUCGUCGUAAUAGCGAUAUAUGAUUUGUAGUUUCACAUCGGAGGCAAUUUUCCUAAAAAUACUGUCUUCAACAUUUUCCCCACGGUGUUUUCUCAGAGCGAUGUGUUUAAUGAAG